AUACGAGGAAGGAUUUGACUGAUUGCAACCUCGAAAAAAAAAUGCUAAAGCAGUGU
rnacentral:ncRNA from 1 species